UACGUAGGGGGCAAGCGUUGUCCGGAUUUAUUGGGCGUAAAGAGCGUGUAGGCGGCCAGGUAGGUCCGUUGUGAAAACUCGAGGCUCAACCUCGAGACGCCGAUGGAAACCAUCUGGCUAGAGUCCGGAAGAGGAGAGUGGAAUUCCCGGUGUAGCGGUGAAAUGCGUAGAGAUCCGGAGGAACACCAAAGGCGAAGGCAGUGUCCUGGGGAGUACCUGACGCUCAGGUGCGAAAGCCAGGGGAGCGAACGGG
rnacentral:rRNA from 1 species